rnacentral:rRNA from 1 species
UACGAAGGGGGCUAGCGUUGCUCGGAAUCACUGGGCGUAAAGCGCACGUAGGCGGAUUCUUAAGUCAGGGGUGAAAUCCUGGAGCUCAACUCCAGAACUGCCUUUGAUACUGAGGGUCUUGAGUUCGGGAGAGGUGAGUGGAACUGCGAGUGUAGAGGUGAAAUUCGUAGAUAUUCGCAAGAACACCAGUGGCGAAGGCGGCUCACUGGCCCGAUACUGACGC